UGGACAGGACAGGAACCGGAAGUAAACAAACUCCAGUUCCUGCUUCUUUUUUCGUCUACAACAUGGAGGACCACGUAAUGAGAACCAUUUUUGUUCUGAUUAUGAUUCUAGUUUUAAAGCAGCAGCUCGGCACCAGCAUAACGCUUCACUUUGGUCAGCUGAGGA